GAUUAAGCAUAUUUAAGUGCAGUUGGUGGAUGCCUAGACAUUAAAAGACGACGAAGGACGCAGCAGCCUGCGAAAAGCCUCGGUAAGGUGGCAAGCAACCUUUGACCCGGGGAUAUCCGAAUGGGGAAACCCAUCUAGUUGAAGACUAGAUAUCUGCGCCUGAAUACAUAGGGCGUAAGAAGACGACCCAGCGAAGUGAAACAUCUCAGUAGCUGGAGGAAAAGAAAAUAAUAAAUGCCUACAGAUUUAUCGUCCCUCUUUAGGGCUGAUAAAUCUGCAGGUUGUAUUCCGUUAGUAGUGGCGAGCGAAAGCGGAGCAGUCCAAACCUUAGCAGUGUUAUAUUGGUCUGGUGAAAUUCUCACGAAUGGAGCCGGGCUGGUAUUUAAAGGUACAUGCCGUUGCUGUUAAGGGGUUAUAGAUAAUUAUAACUGCCAUCAUGUAGGGCAGGGUAGAGCACAUAUGACUUCCCUAGUGGAGUGGUCCUGGAAUGGCCAACCAAAGCGGGUGAUAGUCCCAUAGACGAAAGGGGUUAUAUCUCUACGGUUUUUAUCUCGAGUACCACGGGACUCGUGAAAUCCUGUGGGAAUUUGCCGUGACUAUGCGGUAAGACUAAAUAC
rfam:Candidatus Buchananbacteria bacterium RIFCSPLOWO2_01_FTLL_39_33 rifcsplowo2_01_scaffold_47330, whole genome shotgun sequence.